rnacentral:rRNA from 1 species
AGCGAACGCUGGCGGCGUGCUUAACACAUGCAAGUCGAGCGAAGGUGUCUCAAGGGUAACCUUGAGAUACACUUAGCGGCGGACGGGUGAGUAAUACGUGGAUAACUUACCUCUAGGCCUGGGAUAACCCCCGGGAACUGGGGCUAAUACCUGAUAAGACCACAUUGUCUACGGACAAAGGGGUAAAAGGUGGCUGUGCAAACAGCUAUCGCCAAAAGAUAGGUUCACGUCCCAUCAGGCAGUUGGCGAGGUAAUGGCUCACCAAACCAAAGACGGGUAGCCGGCCUUGGCGGGUGAACGGCCACACGGGGGACUGAGACACGGCCCCC